UCCUGCGACUCCCGCCGCUACCGCCUUAGCCACUUAACCAACCGGCCAAGCACUCGAUCUUGAGGUUGUCGACAGUUGCUUGAUCUAAGAUCACUAAGAUCCAUUUCUCCAGCUAAGAUAACCCACCGUCUUUUGGCACCUCUUCAAUGAGUCACAAUCUCUCUCCAGCGAAGCCAUGUUGCAAAGCAUGUUCCUAGGUUUUUGACAAAGAAGUUUUCCGCCGAGGUCUAGAAGAAUUCGGAGGCGGCUCAGCCUGGUAGUCUAAGCAAGCCACCGGAAAAGUCAGGCAGUUUGGGAGGACGAGGCAUUUGAAUUUUGGUCAAGAGGAUGGGGCCGCUUGUAUCCUUGGGGCGACUCAUCUACGAGAUUACUUGAAGAGGUGCAUAAUAGCUACUUCUUGGUCAGCUUGGUAGAUAAUGACUACAUCCAUGGUGACCUUUUGCACUAUUUUUGCUGAUUUCUAGAGGGGCUUGUUGUCUCUUGCAUCCCAUCAACCAUUAGGCUGGUGCUUUCCUUGCAAGGUUUGGUUUCAUUUAUUGUCAGUGGGAUGUGUAAUAAUAACUCAUUGGGAUUUUGAUACCUCCCUGUGGCCUUGCCUCACUGUGCGAAUUGUGUCUGCAUUCUCUGCUUUAAAACAAAGUUCGUCAACGUUCCAGCUUCCUAAUUGGUUCUUUAUAAAUUUGCUUAUACCAAGUUGUGGAAUUCACAUUUUAUUGAAAUAUACUAGAAAUUCAGUUUUAAAAUUUGUGUUGUUGUUGAAUGGAUAUGUCGAUAUGG